rnacentral:rRNA from 1 species
CGAAUUCGCCCUUCCUACGGGAGGCAGCAGUGGGGAAUCUUGCGCAAUGGGCGAAAGCCUGACGCAGCCAUGCCGCGUGGAUGAUGAAGGUCUUAGGAUUGUAAAAUCCUUUCACCGGGGACGAUAAUGACGGUACCCGGAGAAGAAGCCCCGGCUAACUUCGUGCCAGCAGCCGCGGUAAUACGAAGGGGGCUAGCGUUGCUCGGAAUUACUGGGCGUAAAGGGCGCGUAGGCGGACAGUUAAGUUGGGGGUGAAAGCCCGGGGCUCAACCUCGGAAUUGCCUUCAAUACUGGCUGUCUUGAGUACGGGAGAGGUGAGUGGAACUCCGAGUGUAGAGGUGAAAUUCGUAGAUAUUCGGAAGAACACCAGUGGCGAAGGCGACUCACUGGCCCGUUACUGACGCUGAGGCGCGAAAGCGUGGGGAGCAAACAGGAUUAGAUACCCUGGUAGUCCACGCCGUAAACGAUGAGUGCUAGUUGUCGGCAUGCAUGCAUGUCGGUGACGCAGCUAACGCAUUAAGCACUCCGCCUGGGGAGUACGGUCGCAAGGCUAAAACUCAAAGGAAUUGACGG